AGCACAGCUCAACAGUGCUAGGAGUUCAGCAGAACUUCUCCACAAGUGAAGUGGUUAUCACCUAAGGAAAACGAAGCAUCCCACAACUCACUGCAUCCCAACACCAAGAGCACCUCAUGGGUGUGGGUCAGCUGGAAUAUAAACUCAGAGAUUUCUUUAAGGGCUGUGUGGUACUGAAUCACAACUAACAUCAGCAGACCAAGAGGAAUGCUCUAGGCUGUGGACUGUGGACCAUUUAUACCUGGACUGAAGUGGACAUCUCUCAUCCAACAUUUGCCAUCAGAUCUGCCUUGGGAAAAUUCCAGGCAGUGGUUAUUUCUGGAUUCCAUUUCUCAGAAGACAAAACAAUUAUCCAGACAACUCUCAUUGCUGUUUGUUUCUUCAAAGGCCUCCCCCCUCCACAGCUGGAAGAUGCUGAAUUUGAUCUCCAAAAGCCCUUAGAUCUGUGCCGAUUUCCUUCUACCACAAAUGGACUCUAAACAACAAACCCUUUCUCCUCAGAUCCUUGACUAACCAUAGCUCCAGAGGCAGAAAGUGCCACUUCCCUAGCCAAGACAGGACAUACCAUCUUGGUGCUGCCACCCCUGCUGUCUUCCUCAGGAUGCUUCAGCUGUGUCUGACGCUGUGCAGUCUGCACAGCCCAACUCAGCAAACAGCACAAAGUCCAGGUCAGCAAAGUGUGUUGCCAAGCUGCAUCCUGGCACCGCCACAGGAGAAUGGAGCAGGUCCAGGGAGCCAAAAGGAGUACAGCCCAGGGGUGCUGUGGCACCACACGUGGGAUGACUUCUUGCAGUUUGGCUCUGAAGCGAGGGGUGCUCCUUAUGACCUCCUUCACUGUUGAUGCUGCUGUCACGACAGCUGUUGCUGGGAUGACGGAGGAUUCAAGGAUGGAGAGGCACACCUCAACAGGGGCUCAUUCCACCAUGUCCAGAAUGUCUGGAAGACGGACUGUGGACCAAGAGAGUGUUAGUGCAGGAGAAAUGUAUUUGGACACAGCAACAGAUGAGAAGCAGCAGAUCACAGACAAGGCUCACAUCACGGAGGUACAGAGAUCUGCCCGUCCCUGGGUACAUGAGUGAUGAAACACCACCUCCUCACGCUUGUUCAGUGCUGCAGCUUCAUUCUCAGGGGAUUGGUGGGUGUCUGUAACCCUUAUUUCUGACUUUGUUCCCUCCUCUAUUUCCGUAAUAAAAUCCCUAAUGUUAUA